rnacentral:rRNA from 1 species
CGGCGUGCUUAACACAUGCAAGUCGAGCGGUAAGGCCUUUCGGGGUACACGAGCGGCGAACGGGUGAGUAACACGUGGGUGAUCUGCCCUGCACUUCGGGAUAAGCCUGGGAAACUGGGUCUAAUACCGGAUAUGACCUCCUAUCGCAUGGUGGGUGGUGGAAAGAUUUAUCGGUGCAGGAUGGGCCCGCGGCCUAUCAGCUUGUUGGUGGGGUAAUGGCCUACCAAGGCGACGACGGGUAGCCGACCUGAGAGGGUGACCGGCCACACUGGGACUGAGACACGGCCCAGACUCCUACGGGAGGCAGCAGUGGGGAAUAUUGCACAAUGGGCGAAAGCCUGAUGCAGCGACGCCGCGUGAGGGAUGACGGCCUUCGGGUUGUAAACCUCUUUCAGCAGGGACGAAGCGCAAGUGACGGUACCUGCAGAA